GACGAACGCUGGCGGCGUGCCUAAUACAUGCAAGUCGAGCGCAGGAAACUGACGGAACUCUUCGGAGGGAAGGCAGUGGAAUGAGCGGCGGACGGGUGAGUAACACGUAAGGAACCUGCCUCAAGGAUUGGGAUAACUCCGAGAAAUCGGAGCUAAUACCGGAUAGUUCAACGGACCGCAUGGUCCGCUGAUGAAAGGCCCUUCGGCGUCACCUUGAGAUGGCCUUGCGGUGCAUUAGCUAGUUGGGGGGGUAACGGCCCACCAAGGCGACGAUGCAUAGCCGACCUGAGAGGGUGAUCGGCCACACUGGGACUGAGACACGGCCCAGACUCCUACGGGAGGCAGCAGUAGGGAAUCUUCCACAAUGGACGAAAGUCUGAUGGAGCAACGCCGCGUGAGUGAUGAAGGUUUUCGGAUCGUAAAACUCUGUUGUAAGGGAAGAACACGUACGAGAGGAAAUGCUCGUACCUUGACGGUACCUUACGAGAAAGCCACGGCUAACUACGUGCCAGCCGCCGCGGUAAAAC
rnacentral:rRNA from 1 species